rnacentral:rRNA from 1 species
ACGCAGCAAACUGUGCGUCAUCGUGUGAACUGCAGGACACAUGAACAUCGACAUUUUGAACGCAUAUCGCAGUCCAUGCUGUUAUGUACUUUAAUUAAUUUUAAGGUGCUGCUUGGACUACAUAUGGUUGAGGGUUGUAAGACUAUGCUAAAUAAGUUGUUUAAAAUUUUUCGAAAUUUUAAGCAUAUGGUAUAUUAUUGGAUAAUAAUAUAUUUAUUAUUCAUAAUAUUAAUUAUUAUAUGGAAAUACUAUCCUCUCAUUGUAUGAGAAAAUUGAAGAAUUAUAUUUUCUUUUUCAAUUCAAAUAAUAUUGAGGAAUGUCUAGCAUAAAAAAAAAUAUUUUUUUUCAUCUAGAAUUGUCUCUUAUUAAAGAAUGUGAUAAAGAAAAACUGUUGUAAAUAUUAUAGAACUUCAAGAAUAUAGUUUUCCAUGCAAGUUAAAACUUUAUUGUUUUAACUUUUAACAUUGUUUUAAACAACCUCAACUCAUAUGGGACUACCCCCUGAAUUUAAGCAUAUUAAUUAGGGGAGGAAAAGAAACUAACAAGGAUUUUCUUAGUAGCGGCGAGCGAAAAGAAAUCAGUUCAGCACUAAGUCACUUUGUCAAUAUGGCAAAUGUGAGAUGCAGUGUAUGGAACAUCAAUAUUCUAGUAUGAGAAAUUAACGAUUUAAGUCCUUCUUAAAUGAGGCCAUUUACCCAUAGAGGGUGCCAGGCCCGUAUAACGUUAAUGAUUACUAGAUGGUGUUUCCAAAGAGUCGUGUUGCUUGAUAGUGCAGCACUAAGUGGGUGGUAAACUCCAUCUAAAACUAAAUAUAACCAUGAGACCGAUAGUAAACAAGUACCGUGAGGGAAAGUUGAAAAGAACUCUGAAUAGAGAGUUAAAUAGUACGUGAAACUGCUUAGAGGUUAAGCCCGAUGAACCUGAAUAUCCAUUAUGGAAAAUUCAUCAUUAGAAUUGUAAUAUUUAAACAAUAUUAUAAUAAUAGUGUGCAUUUUUUCCAUAUAAGGACAUUGUAAUCUAUUAGCAAAAAUAAUUUAUCAAAAAAUUAUGAAUUAUAGUUUAUUUCAAUUAAUAUGCUUGCAUGUUAACACAAAAUAAAUUUCAUAAAUUUGAUAAAAUGCUGAUAGAUUUAUAUGAAUACAGUGCGUUAAUUUUUUAAAUUAUAUAAUGGCAUGAUUAUCAUUGAUUUUUGUGUUUAUUAUAUGCACUUGUAUGAUUAACAAUGCGAAAGAUUCAGGAUACCUUCGGGACCCGUCUUGAAACACGGACCAAGGAGUCUAACAUAUGUGCAAGUUAUUGGGAUAUAAACCUAAUAGCGUAAUUAACUUGACUAAUAAUGGGAUUAGUUUUUUAACUAUUUUAGUUAAUAAACACAAUCCCGGGGCGUUCUAUAUAGUUAUGUAUAAUAAUAUUUAUAUUAUUUAUACCUCUAACUGGAACGUACCUUGAGCAUAUAUGCUGUGACCCGAAAGAUGGUGAACUAUACUUGAUCAGGUUGAAGUCAGGGGAAACCCUGAUGGAAGACCGAAACAGUUCUGACGUGCAAAUCGAUUGUCAGAAUUGAGUAUAGGGGCGAAAGACCAAUCGAACCAUCUAGUA